UGCGUAGGCGGCCUGGUAAGUCUGGCGUGAAAGCCCAGGGCUCAGCCCUGGAAGUGCGCUAGAAACUGCGAGGCUCGAGUGCCGGAGGGGAGAGUGGAAUUCCUGGUGUAGCGGUGAAAUGCGUAGAUAUCAGGAGGAAUACCGGUGGCGAAAGCGACUCUCUGGACGGCAACUGACGCUGAGGCAAAGCUGGGGAGCAAACA
rnacentral:rRNA from 1 species